CGCGGACGGAUAUGGUGGUGACAGUGCAGCUCAGUCUCUAGCCAACGCCUAUUCUCUGUCUGGUGGCGAUGGAUACGGCGACGAUGGCUACUCGCAAUCUCAAGCACUGGCAAAUGCUUACAGUGGAGCUGGUGGAGAUGGGUCAAACUCAAUAGCUUCAGCUAACGCUGCCAGCAGAGCUGGUGGAAAAGGACGAAAUGUAGCACAAUCUCAAGCCAUCGCAAGAGCUGCUAAUCAAGGUUAUGGACAAAGUGGUGCCCAAGCAGGAUCAUAUUCGCUCUCAGGAGGACAAGGCAGAGGAGGUGGCUAUGGACAGAGUUCAGCACAAACAAGAGCGAGUGCAGGAAGCGGCAAAGG
rnacentral:lncRNA from 1 species